rnacentral:rRNA from 1 species
UAGACCUCAAAUCAGUCAGGACUACCCGCUGAACUUAAGCAUAUCAAUAAGCGGAGGAAAAGAAACUAACAAGGAUUCCCCUAGUAACGGCGAGUGAAGUGGGAAAAGCUCAACUUUGAAAUCUGGCACCUUCGGUGUCCGAGUUGUAGUCUCAAGAAGUGUUUUCUGUGCUGGUCCAUGUAUGAGUCUGUUGGAACACAGCGUCAUAGAGGGUGACAACCCCGUUCAUGACAUGGAUACCAGUGCUUUGUGAUACACUCUCGAAGAGUCGAGUUGUUUGGGAAUGCAGCUCAAAUUGGGUGGUAAAUUCCAUCUAAAGCUAAAUAUUGGCGAGAGACCGAUAGCAAACAAGUACCGUGAGGGAAAGAUGAAAAGCACUUUGGAAAGAGAGUUAACAGUACGUGAAAUUGUUGAAAGGGAAACGAUUGAAGUCAGACGUGCGUGAUGCGGUUCAGCACUGGUUCGCCAGUGUGUAUUCCGUAUCUUUGCAGGCCAACAUCAGUUUCGGUAGUCGGAUAAAGGUUAGUUGAAUGUGGCACCUUCGGGUGUGUUAUAGCUUCUAACUGAAUACGAUUUCUGGGACUGAGGAACGCAGCGCGCCGCAAGGCAAAGGUUCCGACCUUUUCGCGCUUAGGAUGUUGGUGAAAUGGCUUUAAACGACCCGUCUUGAAACACG